UAGCGACAGGCCUAACACAUGCAAGGUCAGGGGCAGCAUUUCCAGCUUGCUGGAAGAUGGCGACCGGCGCACGGGUGAGUAACGCGUAUGCAACCUACCUUAUACUGGGGGAUAGCCCAGAGAAAUCUGGAUUAAUACCGCAUAACAAUCAUGAUUCGCAUGUUUUAUGAUUUAAAACUCCGGUGGUAUAAGAUGGGCAUGCGUAGCAUUAGUUAGUUGGUAAGGUAACGGCUUACCAAGACAAUGAUGCUUAGGGGGGUCUGAGAGGAUAGUCCCCCACACUGGUACUGAGACACGGACCAGACUCCUACGGGAGGCAGCAGUGAGGAAUAUUGGUCAAUGGGCGCAAGCCUGAACCAGCCAUGUCGCGUGCAGGAUGACGGCCCUAUGGGUUGUAAACUGCUUUUUUUACAGGAAUAAUUGUUGCUACGUGUAGUGAUUUGAAUGUACUGUAUGAAUAAGGAUCGGCUAACUCCGUG
rnacentral:rRNA from 1 species